UUGAUGGUUUGUUGUCAAGACUGAUAUCCCCUGUAUGUCAUGAUGCUGCUAGCUUGUUUCAGUCCAGUAUCUCUUCUUGAUAGUCUUGUUAACAUAAUUCAGUCCAGUAACUCUAAUUAAUUAACUGAAUUUAUUUGUUUAAUUAAAUUACAUUGAAACCUUUCCUUUAAUUAUAAUUAAAGAAGGGUUUCAGUUUAAUUAAAACUAAUGGAAACCUUUUCGGUUAAUCCUGUUGUUUACUGUAUUUGCAUGCUUACAGGAAUGUGUCAAAUACUUGUUAUGUACAUGUAGUGGCACGAGAGUCAAGAUUUACUAGUGCUUGCCUUCUUGUGUUAUCUGGACACAUUGGUUAAUCUACUUUUCUUGUGAUUUCCCAAUUCAAUAUCUAAGAAAUGAAUCUAUAGACUUUAAUGAAUUCAAUGUAUGAUCCAGAUGAGAAUUAUAUGAUAUCUACCUGUUUUUAUCCUUGACCAAUAUCAAUUGUGGUAGCUCUUAAGCGACACAUACUUUUUCUCGCUCCGAGUUCCUAAGCAUGGUAUUAUAUUUUUGUUAGCUAGAACAUGCAAUCUUUGAAUUUGCUGAACAUUAGUAGCUAACUAAGUUGUGCCCCAUUGAUGUCUCAAUUGUUACAUUACAUCUAAAAAAGUUAGCCUCAACUAACUGUGAAAUUUAGAAUGUUCGAAUUCAGAUCUUAAAUUCUCAAACUGGACCGGACUUAUAUAUACACAAAUCAGUACUGAAGUAGGUCUGUAUGGGUCUAUAUGAUCUCCUGUUAGUAAAAUUACAACAUAAAUAACUUCCCAUGUAGUUCUGCUAUUUUUAGUUUGGGUUGAAGUGAUUGGUAGGCCUAGUGGUUGUGCGAUUCUAUGAUCCUAUCCUGUAAAAUUUAUAUGCACACCUCAUAUGAAUCUGUGAUCAUAUCCAGUGAAAUUUAUAUGCAUGUUCCACUCCACUGUCUACACAUUUACUUAGUAAUACAUACUUCUGCACUUCUGUUAUGCUUCUCACUUUGUUUGUAUGAGGCGGCCAGGCUGCCUAUUUUGUAGCAGUCUGCUUCCAUAGUGUUUGUAUGGAGUCGAGAUAAUCGUGUUUUCCUCGGCAGUAGGUCAGCAGACACCGCUCCUGCUAUAUAUGCUAAGAUGCCGCAAGUGUUUGUGCGAUGUUGCCGGCUUAGAGCAUCAUCUCCAAUAGCUGCUGCCUGUUGAUGUGCUUGUUGUGGUGUCAUGUGCUUCUCCUGAAUCUGUUGUACGCUUAGCUGAUUAAAUGUGCAGUUUUUUUUAGUAUUUUGGUUGGUCUGAUGGUGUUUCUUGUUUUGGCUCAAGUGCUUAACUUAUGAGCUUAUGUUGAAGUGUGCUGAUUUUGCACUAUUGAAAUUGAUAGGAGAUACUAUGGAUGCAAGAUUCAUUGUUUGUUCUUGCUCACUAUGUGCUUAACUGAUGAUGAUUGUUGUUGUUAGAAAUUAUGAUUGCUUGUGUCUUAAUUUUUUUCUUCUGUAAUGAUGAUAUGAAAUAUCACACAGGUCCUUAUUAGUGUUGUUGUUGUUGAUGUGGUUGUCGGAGGUGUUGCUGCCGCAUCUGGCGGAGCUGCAGUCCGAGAAGGUCAAGGAUAAGAUCAUCCUCGAUGGGAACGACAUUGAGCUUGUCUCCCGCUCUGCCGCCCUCAUCAACUAGGAGCUCCAGGCCUAAUCUUUUUGAGUGUGAAGCCGUGAAGCCAAGUGCGAAGCAGCGAAGCCCUAGUUAGGAAGUGUUUUUUGGUUCUGUAGUAGACUAUAAAUUGUAAUUUUGUAACGGGUUGUAAAAGGCUACUGUAGUGUUAUUUGAUGAAUUAUAUUUGAUGAAUUAUGUAUGUUAAAAAGAUGUGAAAUGGAAACUUGACCAGGUGGACCAAUUUAUGUCCCACUUAUGAAUAUAAUCUGAGAAAAUUUGAAAUUCU